rnacentral:rRNA from 1 species
AUGGUUGUGAAUCCAACAGUUGGGGCAUCGUUCGACUCGAUUGAUGAGGCGUACGAGUUCUACAAUCUAUAUUCGUGGGAGUGUGGUUUUGGUGUCCGCCUUUCGUCGAGCAGGAUGAACGUUGAUAGGAAGAGAUGCAUGCAAGAGAUUGUAUGCGCAUGUGCGGGCAAGCCACUGAAGGAGAACACCAAAUCAGCGAGAUGUGGAUGCACGGCUAUGAUUAGGCUGCUUAGAGCUAGUGAUAAUGGCUGGUACAUAUCAGAACAUAAAGAAGAUCAUAAUCACCCAUUGUCUCUGACGUGUGGAGAGAAAAUGCAUUGGAAA